rnacentral:rRNA from 1 species
ACUCCUACGGGAGGCAGCAGUGGGGAAUAUUGCACAAUGGGCGAAAGCCUGAUGCAGCGACGCCGCGUGAGGGAUGACGGCCUUCGGGUUGUAAACCUCUUUCAGCAGGGACGAAGCGCAAGUGACUGUACCUGCAGAAGAAGCACCGGCUAACUACGUGCCAGCAGCCGCGGUAAUACGUAGGGUGCGAGCGUUGUCCGGAAUUAUUGGGCGUAAAGAGCUUGUAGGUGGCUCGUUGCGUCGGGAGUGAAAACCUGCGGCUUAACCGCAGCCUGCUUCCGAUAGGCGAGCUAGAGUUCGGCAGGGGAGACUGGAAUUCCUGGUGUAGCGGUGGAAUGCGCAGAUAUCAGGAGGAACACCGGUGGCGAAGGCGGGUCUCUGGGCCGAUACUGACACUGAGAAGCGAAAGCGUGGGGAGCGAACAGGAUUAGAUACCCUGGUAGUCCACGCCGUAAACGUUGGGAACUAGGUGUGGGGUCCAUCCACGGGCUCUGUGCCGCAGCUAACGCAUUAAGUUCCCCGCCUGGGGAGUACGGCCGCAAGGCUAAAACUCAAAGGAAUUGACGGGGGCCCGCACAAGCGGCGGAGCAUGUGGCUUAAUUCGAUGCAACGCGAAGAACCUUACCUGGGCUUGACAUGUUCGGUCUACCUGCAGAGAUGGGGGUGCUUUUGCGCCGUUCACAGGUGGUGCAUGGUUGUCGUCAGCUCGUGUCGUGAGAUGUUGGGUUAAGUCCCGCAACGAGCGCAACCCUCGUUCCAUGUUGCCAGCGCGUUAUGGCGGGGACUCAUGGGAGACUGCCGGGGUCAACUCGGA